GAAGACCUGCGACUGCCUGUCAGUGCAUCUGCACAGAGUCUGCAUGAAGACCGAUCCUGAAGAAGCCAUUGAAGCAGUAGUGGAGAGGGCGACGGCGGAAAUGCGUGUGCUUCUGGCAAAAGGCAGGGUGAUUAAUUACGACCGGCUGGGUCAGAUUUUGGGCUCUGCUGACCCAAUGAGCAGGCUGAUUGAGGAACUGGAGAGUCACUUUUGGUGGUGACCGAUGUGCCCCCACCACUACCUACUACCAGUGCAAGGGCAGAGCCUUCCUCCUCCAGAGCCACACAGCCAACAGAGUUGGACAGUGAACAGUCAGAGAGCUCCUGUCAGCGGUGGAAGAGCAGUUUUGAGACCUUUCAAUGUAACCCUGGUGUGCAGUGGACCAACCCGGUAAGAAAGCUGAUGGCAGAGAAGGGGCUUUACAAGAAGCACUCUAUCGACCAUGCAUUGCUGAAGGGUUUUUCUUCAUUUUUGUGGAAAGACCUUCAAAACCCUAAACAGGAGGUUGAAAACGUUGCACGUUUUCUGUGUUACAUGGACC
ensembl:lncRNA